UACGGGGGGGGGCAAGCGUUGUUCGGAAUUACUGGGCGUAAAGGGCUCGUAGGCGGCCAACUAAGUCGGAUGUGAAAUCCCCAGGCUCAACCUGGGAACUGCAUCCGAUACUGGAUGGCUUGAAUCCGGGAGAGGGAUGCAGAAUUCCAGGUGUAGCGGUGAAAAUGCGUAGAUAUCUGGAGGAAUACCGGUGGCGAAGGCGGCAUCCUGGACCGGCAUUGACGCUGAGGAGCGAAAGCUAGGGGAGCAAACGGG
rnacentral:rRNA from 1 species